CCCUAUCUUUGCAUGGCGAGUUUGUCUUGAUGUAGACGUGGACUCUCAGGGUAGGGUGGGAUAUCCCCUCCAUUUUGGCCUUAACUUGAGAGCUUUUUUUGAGCUUGGGAGUUGAUUUCAGAGAAAACCAGUGGCACCAUCGUGUUUCUCGCCAACUUUUACAUAAGAAUCAACAGUCAAAUCACAAAUUCCUCACACAUGCAACAUCUCCAUUUCUCCAUUGCCUCCUGUAUGUCCAUUAUCUAACCAUAUGUCUUACUUUUAUGUCCAUGUGCAAGAUCCCAGAUAUUGGGAUGACGGAACCGACCCAGGCCCACAAGCCCCAGCCUAUGGGACCGCACAAGCCCCAGCCUAUGGGACCGCACCAUCCCUGGGUUACCCGGGCUCCUCCCCCACACAAAAGGGAUCCUCAACAAGGGCGUGGCAAGGUCCGAUUCGCCCGCGACGAGAUCUCUGCCAACCGGGACUACAAGGGGCCUUCCGAAACUUAUAAUGGAGACUCCACCUGCAUCUCCUCUUCGGCUGAGUCCUCAGCGGAGUCCUCAAAAUCGUAGAUUUAGCAAUGGUGGAAGUCUCACACGGGACGACAACCCAUAUGCCGCACAGACGGACAGUGCUGCAGCUUACGGCGCUAAAGGACGGCGAAAGACCAUGGAGGACAGAUUUGCUAUCGAAGAGACUCUGAAAAAACAAUACGGUGUCUCAAUUUACGCGGUUUUUGAUGGACACGGUGGAGAUGCUACUUCAGAAUGGGCAAAGGUGCACUUAAUUUCAGGGUUAAAAGAUCGACUUCAGAAUGAGAAGUACUUACAAACACGAUCGUCAAGAAGAGUAAUUGACUAUAAAAAUAUCCUUGAGGAACUUCUUGAAGAUAUGGAUUUCGACUACUGUGCGGAGCAGCGUAGGCAGCAGCAGGUGAAGGAGCAGUUAAGGGAGUCUAGGAGGUCGUCCGUGGCGCUGCUGGGAUGCAACAGAACAGACAGGUGCAGCGGCAAACAAAAAUAGACGAUCGGGUAACUCAAGAUUAUUUUAGUUAUGUCAAAUUUCUCUUUCAGCAUGCAUUAACGGCUAAAUUCGAGGAAAGAGU
rnacentral:lncRNA from 1 species